rnacentral:rRNA from 1 species
UUCUUCGGAUUGAAGCCUUGGUGACUGAGCGGCGGACGGGUGAGUAACGCGUGGGUAACCUGCCUCAUACAGGGGGAUAACAGUUGGAAACGGCUGCUAAUACCGCAUAAGCGCACAGUACCGCAUGGUACGGUGUGAAAAACUCCGGUGGUAUGAGAUGGACCCGCGUCUGAUUAGGUAGUUGGUGGGGUAACGGCCUACCAAGCCGACGAUCAGUAGCCGACCUGAGAGGGUGACCGGCCACAUUGGGACUGAGACACGGCCCAAACUCCUACGGGAGGCAGCGGUGGGGAAUAUUGCACAAUGGGGGAAACCCUGAUGCAGCGACGCCGCGUGAGCGAUGAAGUAUUUCGGUAUGUAAAGCUCUAUCAGCAGGGAAGAAAAUGACGGUACCUGACUAAGAAGCCCCGGCUAACUACGUGCCAGCAGCCGCGGUAAUACGUAGGGGGCAAGCGUUAUCCGGAUUUACUGGGUGUAAAGGGAGCGUAGACGGCAUGGCAAGCCAGAUGUGAAAGCCCGGGGCUCAACCCCGGGACUGCAUUUGGAACUGUCAGGCUAGAGUGUCGGAGAGGAAAGCGGAAUUCCUAGUGUAGCGGUGAAAUGCGUAGAUAUUAGGAGGAACACCAGUGGCGAAGGCGGCUUUCUGGACG